rnacentral:rRNA from 1 species
GUCUGAUCUCAAAUCAGGUAGGACUACCCGCUGAACUUAAGC